rnacentral:rRNA from 1 species
UACGAAGGGGGCUAGCGUUGUUCGGAAUCACUGGGCGUAAAGCGCAUGCAGGCGGAUUGUUAAGUCGGGGGUGAAAUCCCGAGGCUCAACCUCGGAACUGCCUUCGAUACUGGCAAUCUUGAGUCCGGGAGAGGUGAGUGGAACUGCGAGUGUAGAGGUGAAAUUCGUAGAUAUUCGCAAGAACACCAGUGGCGAAGGCGGCUCACUGGCCCGAUACUGACGCUGAGGCACGAAAGCGUGGGGAGCAAACAGG